rnacentral:lncRNA from 1 species
CGGGGCUUGACUGUGGUAUAACUUGAAAACCUGCAAGAACUGUCUUUGAUAGUGCAGUCUGGAUGUUUGCUCUGCCCAGGAGCAAGCCUUCAUCCCUGACUGCUGUGCGUGCAAUGCAGACUGCAAAUGUCUUCAAAGAAUACUUACACAAAUCCAUGAGAAAAAGGCCAAGAAUUCCAGCUUUGAAUCCUGCUGCAAUGAAUGUUUAUGAAGAAUGGAAUGCUCCCAAUAGAAAGACUCAGGACAAAUGGAGUCAAACACAAGGACUGUGGCAUUCACCCGAGAUGCUGGAACCUGGAAAGACAUUGCUUGAACCUCACUUGUCAAAUACAAAUAAAGGAAAAAAAACAGCACUCAACUGGCUGUCUGAUGAAUUGUGAAUGGUAUGUUCUCAACAGUUUG